rnacentral:rRNA from 1 species
ACGAACGCUGGCGGCGUGCUUAACACAUGCAAGUCGAACGGAAAGGCCCUGCUUUUGUGGGGUGCUCGAGUGGCGAACGGGUGAGUAACACGUGAGUAACCUGCCCUUGACUUUGGGAUAACUUCAGGAAACUGGGGCUAAUACCGGGUAGGAGCUCCUGCUGCAUGGUGGGGGUUGGAAAGUUUCGGCGGUUGGGGAUGGACUCGCGGCUUAUCAGCUUGUUGGUGGGGUAGUGGCUUACCAAGGCUUUGACGGGUAGCCGGCCUGAGAGGGUGACCGGCCACAUUGGGACUGAGAUACGGCCCAGACUCCUACGGGAGGCAGCAGUGGGGAAUAUUGCACAAUGGGCGGAAGCCUGAUGCAGCAACGCCGCGUGCGGGAUGACGGCCUUCGGGUUGUAAACCGCUUUCGCCUGUGACGAAGCGUGAGUGACGGUAAUGGGUAAAGAAGCACCGGCUAACUACGCG